GGGAAGCACAUGUCAGCCAUGAGAGAAGAGUGAUAUCUGAUGUCUGAAAAAGGGCGCCGCCAUGUUGGAUUUCAACAAUCGGCUAUGUCACUGGCAUGAUCGGACACCUGAAGCCAGUGCCAUAAUACAUUCACUGAGGAAGAGGAAGAAGAUGGGAGAAGAACGAGAGAGGAGAGGAGGAAGGAGCUGAGGAUUCCGGGCGGAAGGAAGUGAGGCAAGAUCGGGCGGGACGGUUUUCCCAUUUGGUGGACGGUCGUCAGCUCAGCUCAGGAAGUGAUGUCAUCCGUUCUUGUCCCCUCCCUUGUCUCCGACCGACUGUAAGAAACAACAACGCUUAAUCCCCCAUCCCUCUCCAAUGAUUUAUGAGGCUUAAUGGAAAUAAUGGAUUCCCGCACACACACGUGUAUUGUGCAACUAUCCUUACAACAUCUUUGCACCAUCUGAGCAACACAGUCACCACUCCUGAGACAUGUUCCCCCGAUGACUGCAUAAUCUGAGGCAGGUGCUGUUUUGCCUUGGCAGUCCACUUUGGUCAUCAGGGGCGUAUCUUAGGGUGUCCCCUGGGUGUCUAAAUGAGGAGGUGCUGUAACAGGGGUACUUUAUGUACACCUGGUGUGCUCUUCACAAACACUCACACACAGACGCCAUUCUGUUGCACCAGCGCUCCUGGGAAACUUCACCCAAACUUCACCGCUAGCAUGCACUAUGGUAGUUCAAUAGGAGCAGCGGUGCCAUAUGGGAGCUAACUGACAGACCCAACAGUCUGCUAGCUUCAUUAGUAGUUCAUUAGUAGUUAAUAAGUAGUUCUUUUACCUAAAAAUAAUGCUUUCAAACUCAUUGGGAUGGCACACUUAUUGACUUGCAAUAAAGAGAAUGGAGUCUCUGACAUUGACUUUGCACACCCAGAAUGCCAUUGCCUGUUAUUGUUAUUGCACUUUGUAACGUUGUUGUUGUGGGUGGAGGAUGACCCUUGUCGAUGCUUUUAGACAAAUUGGGUAUCCCCUUAGAGCUGAAUGGGUAGCCAGUACAUUGAAAAUGGACACAGAGGAGAAUUCCUAGCUUACAUUGUGUUACUUUGAGUACUGACCACAUUCAAAGGAAUGUAUGCAGCUGUGUGCAAUGAAUAGGACAGAGAUUUAAGUCAGACCUUUUGUUUUUCCUGCUCAUUCCAGCUGAGAUAUUGUCAUUUGGUUAUGGCUGCUGAGCUAAUGCUGUUGGUUGGCUUUGGCAACCUUUAUAAAGAAAUAACAGGGGUCAGAUGGGUAUGACUAACACUGGACACAUUGCUGAGAGCAGAAAGCAAAAUGCUACAUUAGCUUAGCUAUGCCCUCUGAGAGUUGGCCAUCUCAGCUAUCUCAGUUACAUCAUCUUAAUUUAGUCUGAUCAUCUGAUCUUUAUUUUUUAUGAUCCCGACUAUUUCCUGAUCAUUUUCAGGUCGCUUGAGUCUGACUGCUGCUGCAUCAGCAGCUAUUUUUACAACCUUGGAGAGUGAACUUUGACAUUUGCUAGCGCCCACAUGCCAACCGCUAGUAGACACACAUGUCUAUCUACAGAGCUGAAGACUCUGUUGUGUGUGUGUGUGUGUGUGUGUGGUAUGGGGGAGUUGGGGGUAGG